AGAAGAUGAUGUUACUUUCAAUAUGACAGAAGGUGGAUGAAGUGGUGGACUGCCCCUCCACACCUGUGGACACGCCCCCACUGAUAUUCCUUCUAAUUGCAGCGUGGGAGAGGAGGAUAUGACACGCGAUAUCGCAGGGAGUAGAAACACCCCUGUGAUACUGUUCUUAAUAUUCAGGGAGGAAGAGGAUGAUAUUACUCCCAAUACAGACGGGUGUACACCCUCUGUACACCGAGGGUGUACACCUGUCUGUGAAAGAGUUCUUAAUCUCCAGAGGGGGAGAUGAUAUUACUCACAAUAUGGUAAAGAGGCUGUGAGUCCACGGAGGAUCCUCAGAGCCAGCGGGGGAAGAGGGGCUGGCUCUCAGUCCCCGCCUCGCGGGGGUGACUCCCCCCAGUGCGAUGGGGGUCCUAAGAGCCAGUGGGGGAAGAGGGGCUGGCUCUGAGACCCCGCCUCGCGGGGGGUGCCUCCCCGCCCUGUGAUGGGGGUCCCAAGAGCCAGAAGGCUUAGAGGGGCUGGCUCUCAGUCCCCGCCUCGCGGGGGGUGCCUCCUCCCCCUGCGAUGGGGGUCGUAAGAGCCACUGGGGGAAUAGGGGCUUGCUCUCAGUCACCGCCUCGCGGGGGGUGCCUCCUUUCCUUUCUACAUAGACACAGUGACAGUCUGAUCUCUCUUUCUUUUCCCUACAGAUGGACACGCCCCCACUGAUAUUGUUUUUAAUGCAGCGUGGGAGGGGAGGAUAUGACACGCGAUAUCGCAGGUAGUAGAAACACCCCUUUGAUAGUGUUCUUAAUAUUCAGGGAGGAAGAAGAUGAUGUUACUCCCAAUACAGACGGAUGUACACCCUCUGUACACCGAGGGUGUACACCCGUCUGUGAAGGAGUUCGUAAUCUCCAGAGGUGGAGAUGAUAUUACUCACAAUAUGGUAAACAGGCUGCGAGUCCAUCGCGGAUCCUCAGAGCCAGGUGGGGAAGAGGGGCUGGCUGUCAGUCCCCUCCUCGCGGGGGGUGCCUCCCCCACUGCUAUGGGGAUCCCAAGAGCCAGUGGGGGAAGAGGUGCUGGCUCUCAGUCUCCGCCUCGCGAGGUGCCUCCCCACCCUGCGAUCGGGGUCCGAAGAGCCAGGGGGGAAGAGGGGCUGGCUCUCUUCGUGGAUGAUUCUUUUUCCAUUCUCAGGCAGUUUUCUUUUUUCUUUCUUUCUUUUUUUUUUUUUUGAGACUGAGUCUUGCUCUGUUGCCCAUGCUUUGCUCGAUCUCGGGUGACUGCAACCACUGCCUCCCAGGUUCAAGAGAUUCUCCUGCCUCAGCCUCCUGAGUAGCUGGGACUAGAGGCGUGUGUCACCACACCCAGCUAAUUUUUGUAUUUUUAGUAGAGAUGGGGUUUCACCAUGUUUGCCAGGAUGGUCUUUAUCUCCUGCCCUUGUGAUCCACCCACCUCAGCCUCCCAAAGUGCUGGGAUUGCAGGUGCGAGCCACCGGGUCCAGCCUCUCAGGCGAUUUUCAUACCUGCAUACUCUGAUCACUACUCUGUUAAACAGUCAAGGAGGGUAAGUAUUAUCUUCAGAUUUCCAGAGCUCUGUCUCUGUACAGCCCUCUCCUCCUCAAUAUUCUGCCCUAUGAAUUCUAGCCACAUUGGCCUUCCCAGGCUCACAGUUCUGUCUUCUCAACUCAGGAAGAUCUCUGAGUUCCAUCUGCAUUCUUUCUUCCUGUGCUGUGGCCUGGAAAGUUUUCUAAGGUGUUAGGGAGGUCAAUUGUGGGGCUAGCCUCAUUUGUUUCUCAUCUCUUGAGGAUCACUGCCCUUUGAUGCUUGAUUCCAGUGAUUGAUUCCCUUUGUUGCUUGAGGGCCAUAGUUUCAUAUAUUUUGUCCAGUAGUUUUGUUGUUUUAGGUCAGAAAGUAAUUUUGGUCUCUGUUACUCUAUCUUGGCCAGAAGUGUAAGACCUAAGCAUUUACACAUCAAAAUACUGCACACAUAAUUUUAGUUUAAGCUACUUUUUAAAAAAUCUCCUUCAUUUUCCAUUUAGCAUUCUAUUUAGGGUAUUACAUUGGUUUUUUUGAAAUUCUGUUAUUGGCAGUUUCUAUUGCCUAUCAAUCCCAUUUAAAGAUAGUGCAUAGGGUAUUCUAAAAUAGCUGUUAAGCAAAGAGAAAAUUGGGCCUGAUAGGGUGAGAAUCACAGCUCUAAUACCUAGAGUGACCUUAUAAUGUAUUGUCCAAAGGAGAUAUUUUUGACAGUGAAAGAGGGUGUUGUUAGUAAUUAUAUCAGGACCAUGGCCUAAACCAGGACUAUCCCAGGAAGCCUGGGACAUAUUUGUACCCCAUCUCUAUUUAAUGCCUUUAUACAAUUCUUUACUUAAUUCUACCAGCCUUUAUUGAGCCUGCUUUCUUUGUCUAGCUGAGUGCCACGUGCUGACGUCACUAAGAUCAAUACAGCAAACUCUGAAAGAUGGACAGAGAGACAGGAGAUGGUCCUUUAUAAUGCAGUGUGAUCUGUGCUGCAAUAGAGAUGGAAGAGUGUUCUGAUUGGCUGGAAAACAAGCACAUGGGAAGCUGUACAGAAAUGAGUGGGGAAAGUUUUGGAAGCUAGAAGUUCAAAACGAGGUGUUGGCAGCACCAUGCUCUCUCUGAAGAUGCUAGGAAGAAUCUGCUCCAUGCCUUUCCAUUCGCUCCUGGGGUUUCCUGCAAGCCCUGACAUUCCUUGGCUUGUAGAUGCAUCACCCCAGUUUCCGCCCCCAUCAUCACAUGGCCUCCUCUCUGUGUGUGCCUCUGCGUUCCCUCUAUUCUUCUUCUAAGGACACCGACACCAGUCAUAGUGGAUUAAGGGUCCACUCCUAACCAAUUACAUCUGCAACAACCCUAUUUCCAAAUAAAGUCACAUUCUAAGA
rnacentral:lncRNA from 1 species